rnacentral:rRNA from 1 species
GAUGAACGCUGGCGGCGUGCCUAAUACAUGCAAGUCGAGCGAAUGGAUUAAGAGCUUGCUCUUAUGAAGUUAGCGGCGGACGGGUGAGUAACACGUGGGUAACCUGCCCAUAAGACUGGGAUAACUCCGGGAAACCGGGGCUAAUACCGGAUAACAUUUUGAACCGCAUGGUUCGAAAUUGAAAGGCGGCUUCGGCUGUCACUUAUGGAUGGACCCGCGUCGCAUUAGCUAGUUGGUGAGGUAACGGCUCACUAAGGCAACGAUGCGUAGCCGGCCUGGGAGGGUGAUCGGCCACACUGGGACUGAGACAGGGCCCAGACUCCUACGGGAGGCAGCAGUAGGGAGUCUUCCGCAAUGGACGAAAGUCUGACGGAGCAACGCCGCGUCAGUGAUGAAGGCUUUCGGGUCGUAAAACUCUGUUGUUAGGGAAGAACAAGUGCUAGUUGAACAAGCUGGCACCUUGACGGUACCUAACCAGAAAGCCACGGCUAACUACGUGCCAGCCGCCGCCGUAA